rnacentral:rRNA from 1 species
UACGUAGGGUGCAAGCGUUAAUCGGAAUUACUGGGCGUAAAGCGUGCGUAGGUGGUUUGUUAAGUCUGUUGUGAAGCCCCGGGCUCAACCUGGGAAUGGCAAUGGAUACUGGCAGGCUAGAGUGCGGUAGAGGGUAGUGGAAUUCCCGGUGUAGCGGUGAAAUGCGUAGAGAUCGGGAGGAACACCAGUGGCGAAGGCGGCUACCUGGACCAGCACUGACACUGAGGCA